rnacentral:lncRNA from 1 species
AUUCAUCUCUGCCAGGCUGUGGGGGACUGGAGAGUGGCAACUGAACUGAGACCAUCAUAUCAUGAAUAGAGGUGUCUCUACCUUGCUGAGCAAGAGAAUAUACUCUGAGCCUUUAAAACUCUAGAUACCUGGGCUUCAAUUUUAGAAAUUCUGCCUCCAAAGCCCUGAUGAGGGUCCCGAGUCUCUGUAUUUUGAAAAUAUACCAUGUUAUCCUGAUGCCCAGCUGGGAUCUGGUCAAUAAGUGCCAAUUAGCGGUGACUAUGCUUGUAGACUGACAAUGUGUCUAUGGAAGGAGAUACAGGGAGGACAACUGGGGGACCUCAGAGGGAAGAGUCACUUUUUCUUGUACAUCUUCAUACUGAUUGGACUUUUUUUUAGUACUGUGGAUUGAGACCUGGGGUGCUCUACUGCUGUUACACCCCCUUUUUACUUUUUGAUAUAGGAUCUCACUAAAUUGCCCAGGCUGGCCUCAAAUUUGUGAUCUUCCUGCCUCAGCUGCUGGGAUUACAGGCGGGCGCCACCAAGCCGACUCUGAUUGGAUUUUUACUUAAAAAAAAAAGAAAGAAAAAAUCUGGAGGAUUGAUGAUCUGCAAACCCUACGCCUCCCACUAGGUGGGGCAGGGAGGGGCAGUGAAAUGCAGUGCGUGGACCAGAGGAAGAAAGAACUGCAGAGCACAAAUCCUGCCUCCAGAGGGCAGCAGCCUCCCAGAGCCCACUGAUGGCACCUGGGUGAGACAGUACCCAGGGCUGCCAGAUGUAACGGUUUUUCAAGAGAAGCCUGAAGUCAUAUUUUCACAUUAAAUCGUCAAAUGAUUUAAUAAAUGAAAAAGCAUGGGAGAAAUGCAAUUUGCCUUUGGACCAAAAUUGGUUGCAGGCCACCAGCUUGUGCCUUUGGAACUAGGAUUCCAUUAAGAAUUGGGCAUCUCCAAGGACAGUCUGCAAACCAAGGCAGAGUCAUCCUUUGUUUAGAAAACUGAGUUGACUCCCAUGGGUCCACACAAGACAAAGACAAAGUAGGUGGCCUCAGGUGGACCAGGGAGUCACCACUCAAUUAUUUAAUUUGACACAUA